GAGAUCAAGGUGGAAGGGAGCAGAUAUAUGCUGUGUGCCACACAGGGCCUAAGCUCUGCUCUCGGGGCAUGCAGCAGGUCCAUUGACAGGGAGCCAGGAAGAAGAUAGAAGCCUCACGUACUGAGGCCACCAUUAGCAUGAAGAGAUACUUGGAUGCUUGUCUACAGCAAUGAGCAAGUCAACCUCAAGUCUCAUCCAUUUUACCUUCUAAAUAGACCAUCUGCAAGGCCUCUCCUAACUUAGCCUAUCAUCUUCUGCCUCUUGAAGACACAGAAUCCUAUUCUUGGCCUCCUUACCUCUACAUAACACUGAGGAGUUAAAAAAAAAAAAAAAGGUAGACCUAAUCGUUCUGUGUCUAGUUUAAACAACACAUCACCACUGUACCAGAUCCAAGCUCUCUGCCUGGCACAGAAAACUGUUCAGUGCUCAGCCCACCCAUUCAGUCUUUUCCCCACCCCACCCCUCCCAGGCCUUGCUCACGGGUCUGCCAUCCAGCCACACACCUCUGUUCCAUCUGCUGCCUGGCUGACCCUUAGGCACUUGAGGGAGGGGCUUCUGUGGAUAUUACCUUCUCUCAAUGCCUUCCCUGCCCCAAGACUGGGGCAGGUGUCUUGGGUCCUUCUCACUGAUAAUCCUGGUGUGUAUAUGGCCCCGAUCCACAAGGCAGUGGUCCCACGUUCCUUUAUGCUUCCAGAAGCCCAGCAGAUGAUUAACGACCGAGGAGCGAGGAAGCUGAGUUUGAGGGGUGUGGACCCAAUACUCUGCAGUCACAUUCUUGGACUCAAGUCCUCUCUGCCUCCAUCCUGGGCUGAACGUGUCAUCCUUGUCAUGGCUGCAACAUCCUAAAAAUGAUGCUGACUCUCACAGUGUUGGUCAUAUUUGUGACACUCACCCCUGCUAGGCUGUGAGGCUGCCGCCAGUAUCAGUCUUCUUGGGAGCUUCAGAGACUCAGGUGAUGGCCACUUGAGUUCAUUUUCCACACUGAGGAUAUGUCAGUGGGGCAUUGUACCUUGUCACAGAGGAGGAGAUUGGUAGACCUUGAGCCACCAUCUGCUUGUUACUUUCAGCAUGGGACAGCAUGUGGCCUUCCCACAGCAGAAGCACCAGCUGUGGCUCCCUGCCUACAGCUCCUCACUCUGAGAAAUGACCCAAUAACCACAGCUGUUCUGCAGAACGGCACUCUCAUCUCUUAGCCCAGGAAUACAAAGGUGCUUAUGAAAACUGUCUUCCAAUGUUAAUUCCCACGGUGGAUUUCUGAAGCAUUGUGUUCAUUCUACUGGCAGCUGACAUUGACAUCUUUUGUCCAAUGACUCACUGUGAAGUGGACAAGAAGUGCCUAGGGAUGCACAUCACACCAACAGCAGCAGCCUUCCCUCGCCAAAUAGUUGGCUGGGGUUGGUAUAUAAACACCCCACCUCUCCAGAUCUGAAGAAUGCCAUCUUUGAGGUGUGUGUUCUACAGAGUCCCUGUUGUAGAAGAAUUGUCUGUACAACCAUUCCACUGUGGCAAUAAAGCUACUUUGAAUCAAAGGACAAUGACUGGUGACCAGGAUUAGCCAUAGGUUCUUGGCAGACUGAGGAGGUCUGCUAGAGAGGACAGGAAGAGAGAAGGGGGAUUUCCAGGGCUGAUGGUUUGGGAAAAACAUGGAUCAGUCCUUGGAUUUAUCAGGUCUUUAUCUCAAUUUCUGACUCGAGUUUUUAUUAUACUGGGACUAUUUAGAUAGUUGUUACAAGUUCCAGAGUUCCUGGUGGGCUCUCACUCUAGUGUCCAGUAGUUGGGUUAGCAACACUAGCCCACUGGAGCAUGUGGCUCUGGCUGGCCUUACCUUCCUCUCCCAUCCUCCCUGCUUUGCUAAAAACCAUUAGAUUACAUUCCUAAAGCUAGCUACCAAGGUCUAUUCCCUUAU